UAUCGACUGACGUUUUGGUUCAAUAAAUAAAUGAUAUGUCAUCUUCUUUUAGAAUAUGAUGACAACAACUGAACAUCAUUCAUUAAUCGGAUGAUUCUUGUUUUGAAUCAGCCCCUUAACGCGAAUCAUUUGAUUUCAAAAUAAAUUUCAGAUGCCGGGAUCGAGUGGAUGUGUGAGGUCAUUAUUAGAAUAUCGCCAUUCUACACUCUACAGUCGACGCUCAUGGUUCAGUGGUUUUGUUAAAAUAAUCAGCAGUAACCGCAGCAAUGCAUCGUAUUUAUCGUUCUUCGAAGAUUAGCUUCAACGGUUACCCAACAAGAAACUUUAAUAUCAAAAAGCUACUUAAUGGCGAAAGUACGUUGCAAACCAUCAUUCCGCAACAGCAGAAACUGAUGCAGUAAAUUCUCACUACUGUCUGACCACCAACACAAAGCUUACGAGUUAUUCCUCCCGCACAGUUCAGGUAGAAGUCCAUUAAAGCUGCAUAAUGACGCGUGAUUGUAUUGAAUACUGCUUUACGACAAAACACCGAUGUUUGGAUGCUUCUAACAAAAAAAAUGUUGAUCAAGUUAUUAAU